rnacentral:lncRNA from 1 species
AAAUACAGUACAUAUAAAAAUGACAAAGUAAACUCCCUACUCUACAAAGUAUAUUUAAUAUUUCUCCAGGAUAUUGCUUAUGCAAUUUUUUUGCCUAGCAUCUUUCCAUUUUCCAAGCAAAUAGGCCCAUGCUUCCAGUAUUUCUAAAUCUGGCUUUUCAUUUAGAAUCUUUUCAUUGCCUUUUGUCUUUAGGAUUUAUAUACCUUUGGUUAUUACAUGGAAUUCCUUCAGAACAUGGAAGUUUCUGAAGGAAUGUUGAACUAACCAAGUGUACCCAACUUCCAUCAAUAAUAUCUGCUUACUGGUAAAGUCCAAAAGGGUCAUAGCAAACACAAAGAAAAAUAUGCCUAAUAGUAGCAACCAAGAUGCAAAAAAAAGAUACCAUAUGGCACUGAAAAAGGAAGAACUCAGAGAUAGUUUCAUUUGUACUGCAAUCCCAAACUCAGUGGCGGAUUUUCGAAUAGCCGCACAAGGCGCGCUCCUUGGGCCUCAUAAAUCAAGGGAGCCUCAAAAUUCAGCUCUCAAAAUAAAAAAAAAUUAUUUUCACCAAUUAGAAUAAUGCCAUUUCGAUUAGUG